GAUGAACGCUGGCGGCGUGCCUAAUACAUGCAAGUCGAGCGAACAGACGAGGAGCUUGCUCCUCUGACGUUAGCGGCGGACGGGUGAGUAACACGUGGAUAACCUACCUAUAAGACUGGGAUCACUUCGGGAAACCGGAGCUUAUACCGGAUAAUAUCUUGAACCGCAUGGUUCAAUAGUGAGAGACGGCUUUGCUGUCUCUUCUAGCUGGAUCCGCGCCGCAUUAGCUAGUUGUUACGUUAACGGCUUAUCAAGGCAACGAUGCGUAGCCGACCUGGUAGGGUGAUCGGCCACACUGGAACUGAGACAGGGUCCAGGCUACUACGGGAGGCAGCAGUAGGGAAUCUGCCGCAAAGGGCGAAAGCCUGACGGAGCAACGCCGCGUCAGAUAUGAAGAUCUUCGGAUCGUAAAACUCUGUUAUUAGGGAAGAACAACUGUGUAAGUAACUAUGCACGUCUUGACGGUACCUAAUCAGAAAGCCACGGCUAACUACGUG
rnacentral:rRNA from 1 species